UACCAGCACCCCGAGUGGUCGGGACGAUUAUUGGGCCUAAAGCAUCCGUAGCCGGUCCUGCAAGUCUUCCGUUAAAUCCAGCUGCUUAACAGAUGGGCUGCGGAGGAUACUACAGGGCUAGGAGGCGGGAGAGGCAAGCGGUACUUUAUGGGUAGGGGUAAAAUCCGUUGAUCCAUAGAAGACCACCAGUGGCGAAGGCGGCUUGCCAGAACGCGCUCGACGGUGAGGGAUGAAAGCUGGGGGAGCAAACCGG
rnacentral:rRNA from 1 species